GAUCUUGUCGCCUGGUUCUGAUGGUGUCUUGGUUCCCGGCUGGGGUUUUGUGUUUACCACGAGCGUUGCCUGCUGUCGGGGAGCUGCGUGUGUUUCACAACAAACAGGGAGCCAGGGAGACCACCCUGCGGGGCUGCCCCUUCCCUCAGCGCUUUCUGCUUGGGUCGCUGGCGUCUUGCAGUGCCUUCGUUCGUCUGUGGUGUGAGGUGCUGGUCCAGGCUUACGCGCUAACAGUGAAUUAGAAGGAGAAAACGCUCUGCGAGUGCAGCGGAAGGGAGGACCCUGUGGCUGGAGAAAUCCCGCCGCGAACACCCAGCGACCAGGUCUACAGCAGCACCAGGUCUGUGCUUCCCCCUGGUGGUCACAGAUUUUACUACACGCGGCCCACAAGUAAAAUGAGUUUCUCUUCAGUGGCCCGGUUAUCUUCUGUCGUGUAGGAGGAAGUCCAGAGCCACGGAAAUUCGGUAAGGAUCGGAUAAGGGCAAUAAAAUCGCAGCUCUAAAUCUUUUCAUGGAGUUGAAGACAGACGUUUGACUGUGGGAGCCAUCUCAUCUUUAUAACCUGAGUACAGGACAUUUACUUUGUGGACUGCCAUUCAAUUUGACAACAGAUUUGUUUUUAAUGUGCACUUUCUGGAAACAAGAUAUUGUUCCUCAAAGAAAUGAAAAAAAUGUUGGGAAUACAUAAGACAUCAUAACAGACACCAGCCUGAGUCGAAGCUGUUAAAGAGGCCAAGAAUUCCCAAGCUUUCCCAGGCAAACGGGGAAGAACACUGGGAUGCCUUUUCCUCCUCCUCUGUCCAUCUGCAGGCCAAGUGUGCAUCAGUCACAGGCAAACUCUGAAUUGAGCUUUGUGCAAGUCUCUGGAAAGAGACCCAAGAUCGUGUGAUGAGCAAAAGUGACAGUGCUGGAGGCAGCGACAUCUGCAGAGCCAGCCCCAUCCCUAUCUGCAGCAGAAUAUGUAUGGGGAUCCUUUAUGUGAACAAUCCACCCAGGGUAGAAUGGGGCUUUUGACAUCAGCUGAGACCCAGGCGGCCUUACAAUGAGAGGGCUGUUGGUCAAAGGAAGGACUGUUUAAUGAACUGAGAAUCUGAGGCCAGCUCUGGCCAUCUGCACUUGGAAUCAUUAGAGCAACUCUACUGUAACUGGCAACCUUGAAUAAUGCAGCAAAUUCAUAUUCCAAAAUUGUGAACUUUAAAAUUUUGUGUUUGUGUCUAUGAUGAAAAGCAUUAUAUAAACAUUUGAUACUACAAUUUUAUUAGUAAGGAAGGCUGAAAAAGUAUCUCUCUUUUGACUCUGAGGUCAAUAAUGAUAAUGGCUUUUCCCCUACACUGGGAUAGAAAUGUUCUGUCAAGGAUAUGAAAACACUUUAUGAAAAUGAAAUUCAUUAAAGCCCUUAAUAAUCAGGUAGGGAAGGCAGGUGCUCACAAUUGUCACCUGUUGGUGAGUGAACACCUUAGGCUCGGGGAGGACAAUGACUCAAGAACAAGGUCGAAUUGCAGGUGGGGGGUGAAGCUGAUCCCUAACAGUGUCCUCCAGCCCCUGGCACUGAGGAAGGACAUGGAGGGCUUGCAUCGACUUUUCCUGGCAGGCUUGUGAUUCCCAGCCAGAAUGCAGGUGGCAAUGUUGUGAUUCCUGGCGUAACCUUCAAUGCUUCAAUGAUAAUCUCUGCUGGUGCCAGGCACCAGCUGAGUGUCACUGUGCAGCUCCCAGGCUUAAGUGAUGCAUGCCGAGGUUUUCAGAGCAGUCUCUCAUUUAUUAGUUGUGUUGGAAAGAAAUCUGUACUACCUAACUGGGUACCUCUGGAUUUUAACAGCUGUGGUUUAUAAGAGAUAUGAGAGGGGGUUUGUUUUCAAAGUGCCUUUCACAAAGUAACACCUUAGACUGUAGUUUACAUUCCAUUCCAGUAGGAUAACUUGCAACACUUCUGUGCUCAGAAAUCCAACUGUGCAAGAAAAGUCAGGUUAUAUUUUCAUACAGCCCGUUCUGGCAAAUAUGCCUUCACACCACUUUCCCUCCUCCUCACCGCUAUUGGCAAUAGUCCCAAUGGAAGAGUUUUAUGUCAAAUGCUGAGUAUCUUGGAAGCUGUCCUGCACAGACACGACUGCUUGGCUGCGUGUUGGAGAGUCGCGGUUGGACUGGGAGACCAGGAAGGUCCCUUCUGGUCUGAGAUGUGAUGACUCUAGAACUAAUUAGUUUCAACUCAUAACACGAAAUGAUACUAGCUACCAUUUGGUGGGCUUUUUCUGUGUUCCAGGCUCUGUGCUAAGAUCUUAGCAUUACUCUAAUUACAAAAUCCCUGCCAAUAUUAUCCUCAGUUUACGCAAGAACAAAUGGGUUUAGGGAAAUCAAAAACUUGUCCAAUGACACAGAUUUAAGAUUUAGCAACUGAUGGCCACGUGGAAAUGGAUUACAGAUUAUUCUAAUUGGACACUCUAAACGUGCAAUUUAACCAGAAUGAAAUUUAGGGCUGCGUGCUGUGGCUCAUGCCUGUAAUCCUAGCACUUUGGGAAGCCAGGUGUAUCCCUUAAGCCCAGGAGUUUGAGAGCAACUUGGGCAACAUGGUGAAACCUGUAUCUACAAAAAAUACAAAAAUUAGCCAGGUGAGGUGGUGUAUGCCUGUAGUUCCAGCUACUUGGGAGGCUGAGAGAUGGGAGGAUUGGUUGAGCCUAGGAGGUCGAGGCUGCUGUGAGCUGUGAUGGUUCCACUGCACUCCAGCCUGGGCGACAGAGACAGACUCCAUCUCAAAAAAAAAAAAAAAAAAAGUAGCUACCUUGUGGUUGCACUCGUCUGAGACUAGCUCAUGGCUCCAGCUCUCAGGGUGGUGAGUAAUGAUUCUGUGGUCAGACGCAGUUUUGAAGUCAGGCAAGAAAACCUUCAACAAGAGUUAGAGAUGUCCUGUCUAUGAAUUUCUCCUCUAGGCUUAGGGAUAGCCCUGGGAUUCAUGUCAUGCCAGUUAGGGAUCCACUCAUUGUAAGCAAUACAAGUGCCCCCGAAGAGACAGUGCAUUAAUUGUCACCCCUUAGGAGCAUUGUGUGAAUUAGUGUGAUUUAGCACAUGCCCAGAGGGAUGAAACUCUAGCUCCAUAGGGUAGGUCCUGAUUACUCCUGGAGCAGGCAGCCAGCUCAGCUCAUGGGGAGCUCUGAGAAGUCUCUCAAUGCCUCGCAUGCAGCCCCUGCUCAGGAGUCAUGUGUCACUUCACAGUCUUGCUUUCCAGUGGGUCAAAGCAUGAUGUUUAUGAGAAACAAAUACACAAAAUUCUGACUUGUGUGAAUACAGAACACGUGCAAUAAAACGACUGCAAUCUAUUUUUAAAAUGUGGUCUGAGAAGUCAGGUUUAAUAUGACUAUGUAAUAUAUAAACAAUAUAUUUUCCACAGAAAGGAAAAUAUAAAUAAUAAAAUAUGUCUAUUUCUUUUUUUUGGUGGAAAAUUACUCCCACAAUUUGGUCCCAAGGGGGUCUUAAUUUGUCAUCAGGUCUGUGGCUAAAUGUCUUAUAAAGGAAUGCUUCUUUCUUUCGAGAAGUGUACAGGAACAGUCUGCACUGACUGCUUUUACCUGUAAAUGUUUUGAGAAUUCAGAAGUCACUUUCCUUCCACAAUAGGUGCUAGGCAUUUUAUUUAAAUAAAGCAAAAACAUUUCUGUCAUAAAGAAGGUGUUAAUAACCUCAAAGCUAUGCGAAAUAUACUAGUACAAUCUAAUACUCAUGGUGAAAAAUACAGUAAUUAAGAGCAAUUCAAGUUUUUUUGUUUUGGUUUAACUUCAGAAUUAAAAUAAACUCAGAAUUAAAAAAAUAAAAAAUGGUUUUAUUACAUGUCAGAGUAUUGAGAUACAAAAUAUAUACCAGAU
rnacentral:lncRNA from 1 species